CGGAGGGUGCGAGCGUUGUCCGGAAUCACUGGGCGUAAAGGGCGCGUAGGCGGCGCGGGUAGUCAACGGUGAAAGCUCAGGGCUCAGCCCUGAGUCGGCCGUCGAUACUCCCGUGCUCGAGCACUGUAGAGGCAGGUGGAAUUCCGGGUGUAGCGGUGGAAUGCGUAGAGAUCCGGAAGAACACCGGUGGCGAAGGCGGCCUGCUGGGCAGUAGCUGACGCUGAUGCGCGACAGCGUGGGGAGCAAACAGGAUUAGAUACCCUGGUAGUCCACGCCGUAAACGAUGGGUACUAGGUGCUUGGGGGAGCGACCCCCUGAGUGCCGGCGCUAACGCAUUAAGUACCCCGCCUGGGAGUACGGCCGCAAGGCUG
rnacentral:rRNA from 1 species